rnacentral:rRNA from 1 species
AUUGAACGCUGGCGGCAGGCCUAACACAUGCAAGUCGAACGAGUGGCGGACGGGUGAGGAAUUUCUGGGAAACUGCCUGAGGGAGGGGGGUAAACACUGGAAACGGUAGCUAAAACCGCAAACCAACAGAUGUGGCCAGAUGGGAAUAGCUUGGUGGGGGGGGAACGGCUCACCAAGGCGACGAUCCCUAGCUGGUCUGAGAGGAUGACCAGCCACACUGGAACUGAGACACGGUCCAGACUCCUACGGGAGGCAGCAGUGGGGAAUAUUGGACAAUGGGCGCAAGCCUGAUGCAGCCAUGCCGCGUGUAUGAAGAAGGCCUUCGGGUUGUAAAGUACUUUCGGCGGGGAAGCGUUACCCGCAGAAUAAGCACCGGCUAACUCCGUGCCAGCAGCCGCGGUAAUAC